rnacentral:rRNA from 1 species
GACGAACGCUGGCGGCGUGCCUAAUACAUGCAAGUUGAGCGCUGACGGUUGGUACUUGUUCCAACUGGAUGAGCAGCGAACGGGUGAGUAACGCGUGGGGAAUCUGCCUUUGAGCGGGGGACAACAUUUGGAAACGAAUGCUAAUACCGCAUAAAAACUUUAAACACAAGUUUUAAGUUUGAAAGAUGCAAUUGCAUCACUCAAAGAUGAUCCCGCGUUGUAUUAGCUAGUUGGUGAGGUAAAGGCUCACCAAGGCGAUGAUACAUAGCCGACCUGAGAGGGUGAUCGGACACAUUGGGACUGAGACACGGCCCAAACUCCUACGGGAGGCAGCAGUAGGGGAUCUUCGGCAAUGGACGAAAGUCUGACCGAGCAACGCCGCGUGAGUGAAGAAGGUUUUCGGAUCGUAAAACUCUGUUGGUAGAGAAGAACGUUGGUGAGAGUGGAAAGCUCAUCAAGUGACGGUAACUACCCAGAAAGGGACGGCUAACUACGUG